rnacentral:lncRNA from 1 species
CAUACGGACACCGGACCGCCCGGCGGAUUCGUCCGCAGCAAUCCACUAGUACUUUCGUACCGCCCCUCAAAGGCCAACCUUACGGUCCACGUCCGGAGGGGAGGGCAACGUCCUGGACUUGUCCGGUGCGGAUAAUAAGGCUCUGGCACGUCUUGUAGGUGAUUGGCUUUCUUGCCGGCACGGCAUAACACUGAUGAAGCCGAUAUUUCGUUACGAAAUUUCGGCGAAGUCCGGAUGGUCGUGUGACAGGCAAGUCAAAAACACGGAUGGAGCUGAUAUUGCUCUGAGCGAGUCGGUGGACUUGGGACACCGACGAAGCGGGUUCCCCUGCGGGGACUACGGUGGUGUUGGAACACCGAGCAGAACUGACGUUUCUAGAGGGGACUCGGUGAGUGGCACACCGAGUCGAGGCCAAUGAAAGGACCUCGGGGACGCAGGGACGCUGACACGCUGGCGUCUUCUAAUGGGGUUCUCGGUGAGUUGCGACACCGAGGAAGCCGGUCUCGCUCUACAUAGCGAUUUCGGCAAAGUUUAGUUGGCCUUUCCCCUCCCGCUGAGAGUACCAGCUCGUCCCUGGCUCUUGCGGAUGGACCUGUGAAGCUAAGCGGUACAGGUGCAGGGUAGUUCCCUGAUUGGGAGGCCUCUGUAAGCUACUCUGAGGUUAUUCCAUUAAUAAUAAUAAUAAUAAUAGUACUUUCGUACCAUCUUUCGGAGGACAAAGUUCGUCUAUAACCUCCAUAUGUAGUAGUAGAAUAAAAAAAAAUUAUGGUCCCA